rnacentral:lncRNA from 1 species
UCCGUGCAACGAACAGAACAAAGAAAAUUGUAGACCAGGAAAACCAGUAAAUGGCUACAAUAGAGGCUGCAAUCCCGAAGAGCAUUGCCGAACUGGAAACCCAUAAAAUUGAAGGCUAAACUAAGUUGGUUCCGGGAAGAAUCAUAGUCUUCCUAUUAUGGGAAGGAUUGGGCUGAUACCUUCUACAGUAUUCUAUGUUUAGUGAUAAGUUAAAAGAGGCAGUCAUAGUGGUAAAUACACAUGGCUUUUUCCUCUUUACCAAUUUUGUAAUAAACAAGUGGUUAUUUACUGUUGCAACUUGCCCAUUUCCAAGUUU